rnacentral:rRNA from 1 species
AGUGAACGCUGGCGGUAGGCCUAACACAUGCAAGUCGAACGGCAGCACAGUAAGAGCUUGCUCUUACGGGUGGCGAGUGGCGGACGGGUGAGGAAUACAUCUGAAUCUACUUUUUCGUGGGGGAUAACGUAGGGAAACUUACGCUAAUACCGCAUACGACCUACGGGUGAAAGCAGGAGAUCUUCGGACCUUUCGCGAUUGAAUGAGCCGAUGUCGGAUUAGCUAGUUGGCGGGGUAAAGGCCCACCAAGGCGACGAUCCGUAGCUGGUCUGAGAGGAUGAUCAGCCACACUGGAACUGAGACACGGUCCAGACUCCUACGGGAGGCAGCAGUGGGGAAUAUUGGACAAUGGGCGCAAGCCUGAUCCAGCCAUACCGCGUGGGUGAAGAAGGCCUUCGGGUUGUAAAGCCCUUUUGUUGGGAAAGAAAAGCAGCAGGUUAAUACCCCGCUGUUCUGACGGUACCCAAAGAAUAAGCACCGGCUAACUUCGUG